CUACGGGAGGCAGCAGUAGGGAAUCUUCGGCAAUGGAAGAAAGUCUGACCGAGCAACGCCGCGUGAGUGAAGAAGGUUUUCGGAUCGUAAAACUCUGUUGUUAGAGAAGCAAUGUUGAUUAGAGUGGAAAAUUAAUCAAGUGACGGUUCUAACCAGAAUGACGUUCCG
rnacentral:rRNA from 1 species